GGGAGACACCUGGCUGGACAGCCAGGAAGCCAUUUUAAAAGGAGCACGAGGACUGAUAUUUGGGAGGAAUGGGAGCGAGAGAGAAGGAAGCGCUCGGGUCUGCAAGCGACUAGAGGCUCACGGAGGGCCCAAGAGACUGUCUAUCAUGGAUAAUUAACUGCAGUUCUGUGAGUAUCCCAAAUUAACCAUGAAGAUGAACUGCGAACUGUAAGUCAUUAAUUUCUCAUUACUCUUGGGCACAUUGAUGUAUUUUGGCUUCCUGGUGAGUUAACUUGUUACCUGAAGGUUGAUCUGAGUAAGGAUGUUUUAUUGGUUCAUGGGUUACUUAGGUGUUUUGUUUAUGUUGGUUUGAAAUGAUUUGUUAAAAUGGUUACAGGCUCCAGUGAAUUGUUGUAAGCAGGAGUAAUGGGUUGGGUUCUGAUAUCUUCAGUCUUCUUUCAUUCUACUCUCCUGACGUCUGCAUCUUUAUCACAUGAGUGUUGCUUUACUGAUGAGGGUGUGGUCUGAGCGAGCGGAGGUGCAUACUGGGAUACAGAGCUGUCUGAAGUCUACAGGUCUGUAGACACGCCCCCUCAGGGGAAACCGAGUGUUUGAGAAAUCGUCGAGACGUCAGUUACAUGGACUGGAAUGUUCUUUAAAAUGGACUCAGGGAUUCAGAAGGAGAAACACCAGGGGGAGAUGAGGGGGGCUCUUCAUCUCAACGACUAAAACACAACUUCAGUCUGACACAGAACCAUGGAACACAUUCAACAGUCUCCUCCAGGCAUCGUGAAUCCUCAAGAACAGUUUCAUUUCCAAGAAGGUCCUAUUUGGGGCCAUCCCCAUAUGGAUCCUGCUCCUCAAGAGCCACCCCCCUCCACUGGGUGGUCUUCUGAACAGAUGACCUCCUUCCUGUCCUCUGGCUGACUAAAGCUGCACAGUUUGCAUCUGUGAAGGCCCGUCAUUCAGGAAACCACUGGACUACAAAGACAUGACUUCAGAGAUGUUGAAUCAACCUGGGACACAUUUUGGAGACGCCAAGCAUAAUCCAUCACCAAUGUGGGACGCCACUGAAGAAUGUUGUACAUAAUUUACGUCUCUGGAGACAUUGGUUGUUCUGUUAUGGGUGCCCUGGCAGGAGAGCUGGGGUGAUGGAAUGUUAUUUGGCAUGAGGUUUUUACCCUGCAUGAUUGUUUGGCCUUUUAUGGCUCAGUGUUGUGUGUUUGGCAUGAGAUGGAUGUUUUUUGAGCAUCGAUAGGGUUCUUGUGUGUGUGUGUGUGUGUGUGUGUGUGUGUGUGUGUGUGUGUGUGUGUGUGUCUCUCCGACUCACACCUGGCAUGGGGUUCUACGUGCCUGUUCUGGGUUCUGUGUGCGUGUCCGGCUUGCUUUGACAGUGAUGUUCAUGCAGGGGUCUAUGUGAUUGGCCUGGGAUAUUGGAAUGGUCAAAUAAAUCAUACCUGAUGGACGGCCACAUGUUUACUUAAGGGCCUCCAGUAGACAUGAAGAGCCCUGAGCGACGCUCCGGAGUGAUAUCCAACACACUGGGCAGGAAGGAGAGUAUCCAAAUCAAAUGUAAAAGGAUGCAAGCAGCGUGUUCAGCUCAGCGACUUCAAACUAGGACUACACCAAUCAGGAUCAAUGGAGGAUGGACACCUAAAGGAAUUCCACAAGGAGACUGACGUUGGAAAGGGACGUAAAUGGAUAUUCAAGAUGACAUUCAGACCUGUAAUGAGACGGCUCUUCCUACCUGGCUGGAUUGAUGGAGAGCCCUCUGGAUCUUGUCUUGCUCUCAGUUGCACGUCUUCUCAGGCUGAACUGUAUUUUUUUCGGACAGGACUAGCUGAACGAUUGGUUCCUCAAAUCAGAACCACUCCGGGAACUCCAGCUAGUGCACUCUUCAAGCUGAAGUUGUGCUCUUCAGCUGAGGAGGUAAGGAAACCUUCGCUGGGGCUUCAAGGUGUAAAGAGGAGAAUGUUUCAAAGUGUUCCAUGGUACUCUGAUGAGGACCGUCCGUUGUUGUGUUCCACUGGCUGAGAGGAAGAAACCUCACAUCUUCCUCUUGGACUUUCUCCUCUGAGAAGCCUGGCGCCAUCUUGAAGGAUAUUCCAGCUCAUGUAAUUGAUGUCGCGACAGAUUCUCAAACACUUGGUUUCUCCUGAGGGGCUUGUCUAUAGAACUGAAGACUUCAGACAGCACUGUAUCCCAGCAUGCAUCUCUGCUCACUCAGACCACACCCCCAUGAGUAGGAUGCAACACUCUAGUGAUGGAGAUGUAGAGUUUUAUAAGCUCGCUGUGAGCGGCUCAACGUUUAGAUUUGCUCUGUAUGGUUUUUACCCUGAAUAAUCUAGAUAAUUGUAAAAUGUAGACACACUUUUGUAUUGAAUGAUUCCAGGAUUUUAUGUUUAAAGUUGUUGUGGGACGAACAUGGUAGUUUGGUUCUUCGUACGGUUUUAAGUGAUAUAACUUGUAUACACUGGGUGCGUAAUAAUGUAAAGGUACACUGAAUAGUACUGUAUUAAUGACCAACAGCAACAAACAGAUCUCCUCAAGGUAAGUCUGUUGGCUGUGUUUUAAUGAAGACCAUCGCUGGACUUCAGGAUCUUCCUCCGUUCAGCUCAAGGUGAGGCGCUGGUUCUGUUUUUUCUUUGGUUGGUUCCGGCUGGAAUGUUCGGAUUCCAGUCGGACGGUUUGUGCUUCCCGCCGGGAAGUUUCUGAGUGCGGUCAUUUGAUUUAGUCCCAAUGGUUAGCAUAGAACGUUGUAGUCUUAAACCACCUGGCAGUUAGUUGGACGGAAGUCCCCUGAGGGAAUCAGGCGGAACGUUCUGGAUUGUAUUUGCGUAACCUCGAGCCGUUGCCAACGGAAAAUAUUUUUCAGUCGGUUUCCAUUGGGAAUGGUUGCCCCCUAUCUUAAACAACUUAAGGUUGAUAUUAAAUACAUACUGACACGUACGUCGUACAAUAUGUUGAUAAUUUCCGAUGGUUGCGCCGUACUUUUAACCACGAUGACGUGACGGGACUCUCACUACGUACAAAACGGCGUUCUCCUUGCGGGCCCAUUUUUGACAUCAUUGAAGGCUGAAAAUAAUUUCAAGGUGGAAGAUAAUUUGACAUUUCUUCAACGGAACCCAGCACCUGAAUAUGGCUGAGUAUAUUUAAUUUACUAUCGGUACUGCUUCGUGUUCUAUGUUACUUCAGCUUUUGUAUGUUCUAAAUAUCUGCUUUCAUUAAUUGCCACAGAAGAUAAACCCUACCCAAUGGAAUGAUGUUAAACGACUUUGGUGCAGAGUUACAAACUGGAUAAUAUCAAAGCUAAAAUAAUGUCUGUCCUUCCCACAUGUUACAGUAUAAGAGACUCUAGAACUGUACAAGGUUGAAAAGGUAACAUGUAGUUUGUCCCAAGGUGUCUGCCUCCUCACCCUCACCCAAAGCCAGACCUCCACCUCCUGUCAGAAGUCCUCCAGAACAGUUCAGUGCUCUGGUGUGUGAAGAGUCUUCUCAGCUGAAAGACGAGGCUGGGGACCGGAGGCUUGUGGUGCCAGAGUGGACCUGAGGCUGGAGACAAAGGGGCCUGCAGCACCGGACCAGAGGACCAGGAAUCCAUGGCUGAUGGAGGAGCCGUGCUGAAGGAGCUGAUGGAGGAGCCGUGCUGACGGCGCUGAUGGAGGAGCUGUGCUGAAGGGCCUGCCUGGUGAAUGACGUCCGUCGUGGGGUAGAUGAAGCCUGACUCUGAAACCAGGACUCUGUCUGAGGAGAGCUGCUGGAGGAGCUGAGACGCUGGAGGUCGACUAGGAAUCGACCAACAAGGAUUCCUCAACGUGUUUCUGGAGCGGAGGCGAGCUGACUUUAGGGCCAGACUCGCGCUGUUUUUUGCAGACUAGGACUCCGGCUGAGGAGAGCUGAUGGAGGAGCCAAGACUCUGGAGGACGACAUCACUCUACCAACCAGGAUCCUCACCAGGAAUCUGGAGGAACGAUGGAGAAGCCGUACAUCUGGAAGGCAACUCCUUAGGACAACCAGGACUCUACUAUCAAGGAUUCCUUAUAAGUUUGCAUUAUCUGGACAUAGUGGACUAGACGCACCUGAGCUGAACCUCACCUGAUCCUGUUUUGUCGGGGGUAGACACACCUGAGCUGAACGCGCCCUGAUCCUGACAUCCUGCUGGUCCCGUCUCCUCAGUUCAUCUGAGCCUCGUCCUCCAGAAGACCUGCUGAGCUCAGCAGUCUGAGGCUGAUGGAUCAAUGACCUCCAGUGGGAGUGAUCUUCUUGACCCCACAUGUAACCCUGUGCUUCCACAUGCCUUUCCCUCACGUCUGUCACUAACUUCACUACUCUCUACUGCUUCCUCUUUUCUUCCUUCUCUGUGGUUCAAACCUUUACACUGAAGGCGCGUCUUCCUGCCCUCAGAGGGUUCAGCGUUAGGGUUGAGAGUCAGGGUUUAGAGUCAGGGACAGAGCUGGUCAGGGAGGACUGCUUUUACACAAACCUCUUCACUUGCUUUCGGAAUGGUGGACAUUUUAAAAGAUUAAUUUGGGAAAAUGUUUUCCUCUGCUUUCCUUUACAAAAUUGUGUUAAACUUCUGUCAAGUGUUUUUUAUAUUAAAAUCCCACAUUGACUUCUACAUGUUUGGUGCUGUUCAUUUAAUUGUCCUUUAACUUAGUUAAUGUCAAGCUAAACUCCUG
ensembl:lncRNA